rnacentral:rRNA from 1 species
UACGUAGGGGGCAAGCGUUGUCCGGAUUUAUUGGGCGUAAAGGGCUCGUAGGCGGCUUGGCAAGUGGGUGGUGAAAUCCCUCGGCUUAACCGAGGAACUGCCGUCCAAACUGCUUCGCUUGAGGCCGGGAGAGGUGAGUGGAAUUCCCAGUGUAGCGGUGAAAUGCGUAGAUAUUGGGAGGAACACCAGUGGCGAAGGCGGCUCACUGGACCGGUACUGACGCUGAGGCGCGAAAGCGUGGGGAGCAAACGGG